UCUACGGGAGGCAGCAGUGGGGAAUUUUGGACAAUGGGCGAAAGCCUGAUCCAGCCAUGCCGCGUGAGUGAAGAAGGCCUUCGGGUUGUAAAGCUCUUUCAGCCGGAAAGAAAUCGCGCAGGCUAAUACUCUGCGUGGAUGACGGUACCGGAAGAAGAAGCACCGGCUAACUACGUGCCAGCAGCCGCGGUAAUACGUAGGGUGCGAGCGUUAAUCGGAAUUACUGGGCGUAAAGCGUGCGCAGGCGGUUAUAUAAGACAGAUGUGAAAUCCCCGGGCUCAACCUGGGAACUGCGUUUGUGACUGUAUGACUAGAGUACGGCAGAGGGAGGUGGAAUUCCGCGUGUAGCAGUGAAAUGCGUAGAUAUGCGGAGGAACACCGAUGGCGAAGGCAGCCUCCUGGGCCAGUACUGACGCUCAUGCACGAAAGCGUGGGGAGCAAACAGGAUUAGAUACCCUGGUAGUCCACGCCCUAAACGAUGUCAACUAGUUGUUCGGUGAGGAGACUCAUUGAGUAAC
rnacentral:rRNA from 1 species